rnacentral:rRNA from 1 species
AUCCCACCUGGGGAGUACGGCCGCAAGGUUGAAACUCAAAGGAAUUGACGGGGGCCCGCACAAGCAGUGGAGUAUGUGGUUUAAUUCGAAGCAACGCGAAGAACCUUACCAGGAAUUGACAUCCCUCGCAAUCUGUUGAAAGACAGAGUUCCCUCGGGACGGGGAGACAGGUGGUGCAUGGUUGUCGUCAGCUCGUGUCGUGAGAUGUUGGGUUAAGUCCCGCAACGAGCGCAACCCUUGUUGUUAGUUGCCAUCAGGUAAAGCUGGGCACUCUAACGAGACUGCCGGUGACAAAUCGGAGGAAGGUGGGGAUGACGUCAAAUCAUCAUGCCCCUUAUGUUCUGGGCUACACACGUACUACAAUGGCUGUUACAGAGGGGAGCGAAACCGCAAGGCAGAGCCAAUCCCAAA